GACGAACGCUGGCGGCGUGCUUAACACAUGCAAGUCGAACGGUGAAGGGACCGGUUUUUGCUGGUUCUGGAUGAGUGGCGAACGGGUGAGUAACACGUGAGUAACCUGCCCCCUUCUUCUGGAUAACCGCAUGAAAGUGUGGCUAAUACGGGAUAUUCUGCGCCUGCUGCAUGGUGGGUGUGGGAAAGAUAUUGUUUCGGUGGGGGAUGGGCUCGCGGCCUAUCAGCUUGUUGGUGGGGUGAUGGCCUACCAAGGCGGUGACGGGUAGCCGGCCUGAGAGGGUGGACGGUCACACUGGGACUGAGACACGGCCCAGACUCCUACGGGAGGCAGCAGUGGGGAAUAGUGCACAAUGGGCGCAAGCGUGAUGCAGCGACGCCGCGUGAGGGAUGGAGGCCUUCGGGUUGUAAACCUCUUUCGCCAGUGAAGCAGGCCUGUCCCUUGUGUGGGUGGGUUGACGGUAGCUGGAGAAGAAGCGCCGGCUAACUACGUG
rnacentral:rRNA from 1 species